rnacentral:miRNA from 2 species
UAUUGCACUUGUCCCGGUCUU